rnacentral:rRNA from 1 species
GCUGGCGGCGUGCCUAAUACAUGCAAGUCGAGCGGAGUUCAUCGGGAGCUUGCUCCUGAUGAACUUAGCGGCGGACGGGUGAGUAACACGUAGGCAACCUGCCCGUAAGACUGGGAUAACUACCGGAAACGGUAGCUAAUACCGGAUACGCAAGUCUCUCGCAUGAGGGGCUUGGGAAAGGCGGAGCAAUCUGUCACUUACGGAUGGGCCUGCGGCGCAUUAGCUAGUUGGUGGGGUAACGGCUCACCAAGGCGACGAUGCGUAGCCGACCUGAGAGGGUGAACGGCCACACUGGGACUGAGACACGGCCCAGACUCCUACGGGAGGCAGCAGUAGGGAAUCUUCCGCAAUGGACGAAAGUCUGACGGAGCAACGCCGCGUGAGUGAUGAAGGUUUUCGGAUCGUAAAGCUCUGUUGCCAGGGAAGAACGUCCGUUAGAGUAACUGCUAACGGAGUGACGGUACCUGAGAAGAAAGCCCCGGCUAACUACGUGCCAGCAGCCGCGGUAAUACGUAGGGGGCGAGCGUUGUCCGGAAUUAUUGGGCGUAAAGCGCGCGCAGGCGGC